rnacentral:rRNA from 1 species
UACGGAGGGUGCAAGCGUUAUCCGGAUUCACUGGGUUUAAAGGGUGCGUAGGUGGAGUGGUAAGUCAGUGGUGAAAUCUCCAAGCUUAACUUGGAACUGCCGUUGAUACUAUCUGUCUUGAAUAUCGUGGAGGUAAGCGGAAUAUGUCAUGUAGCGGUGAAAUGCUUAGAUAUGACAUAGAACACCAAUUGCGAAGGCAGCUUACUACCCGAAUAUUGACACUGAGGCACGAAAGCGUGGGGAUCAAACAGG